rnacentral:rRNA from 1 species
AGUGAACGCUGGCGGUAGGCCUAACACAUGCAAGUAGAACGGCAGCACAGUAAGAGCUUGCUCUUACGGGUGGCGAGUGGCGGACGGGUGAGGAAUACAUCGGAAUCUACUUUUUCGUGGGGGAUAACGUAGGGAAACUUACGCUAAUACCGCAUACGACCUACGGGUGAAAGCAGGGGAUCUUCGGACCUUGCGCGAUUGAAUGAGCCGAUGUCGGAUUAGCUAGUUGGCGGGGUAAAGGCCCACCAAGGCGACGAUCCGUAGCUGGUCUGAGAGGAUGAUCCGCCCCACUGGACCUGGGACCCGGCCCAGCCUCCUACGGGAGGCAGCAGGGGGGAAUUUUGGACAAUGGGCGCAAGCCUGACCCAGCCAUCCCGGGUGGGUGAAGAAGGCCUUCGGUUUGUAAAGCCCUUUUUUUGGGAAAGAAAAGCAGCAGGUUAAUCCCCCGCUUUUCUGACGGUCCCCAAAGAAUAAGCCCCGGCUACCUUCGU